rnacentral:rRNA from 1 species
CCUACGGGAGGCAGCAGUAGGGAAUCUUGGGCAAUGGGCGAAAGCCUGACCCAGCCAUGCCGCGUGAAUGAUGAAGGUCUUAGGAUUGUAAAAUUCUUUCACCGGGGACGAUAAUGACGGUACCCGGAGAAGAAGCCCCGGCUAACUUCGUGCCAGCAGCCGCGGUAAUACGAAGGGGGCUAGCGUUGCUCGGAAUUACUGGGCGUAAAGGGCGCGUAGGCGGAUCGUUAAGUUAGAGGUGAAAGCCCAGGGCUCAACCUUGGAACUGCCUUUGAUACUGGCGAUCUGGAGUACGGGAGAGGUGUGUGGAACUCCGAGUGUAGAGGUGAAAUUCGUAGAUAUUCGGAAGAACACCAGUGGCGAAGGCGACACACUGGCCCGUUACUGACGCUGAGGCGCGAAAGCGUGGGGAGCAAACAGGAUUAGAUACCCUGGUAGUCCACGCCGUAAACGAUGAGUGCUAGUUGUCGGCAUGCAUGCAUGUCGGUGACGCAGCUAACGCAUUAAGCACUCCGCCUGGGGAGUACGGUCGCAAGAUUAAAACUCAAAGGAAUUGACGG